rnacentral:rRNA from 1 species
UACGUAGGGCGCAAGCGUUAUCCGGAAUUAUUAGGCGUAAAGAGCUCGUAGGCGGUUUGUCGCGUCUGCCGUGAAAGUCCGGGGCUCAACUCCGGAUCUGCGGUGGGUACGGGCAGACUAGAGUGAUGUAGGGGAGACUGGAAUUCCUGGUGUAGCGGUGAAGUGCGCAGAUAUCAGGAGGAACACCGAUGGCGAAGGCAGGUCUCUGGGCAUUAACUGACGCUGAGGAGCGAAAGCAUGGGGAGCGAACAGG